rnacentral:tRNA from 1 species
UCCUUAGUAGCUCAACGGUAGAGUGGUCGGUUGUUAAUUGACUGGUCGUAGGUUCAAAUCUUAUUAGAGGAG